UACGUAGGGUGCGAGCGUUAAUCGGAAUUACUGGGCGUAAAGCGUGCGCAGGCGGUUCGUUGUGUCGGCGGUGAAAGCCCCGGGCUUAACCUGGGAAUGGCCGUUGAAACUGGCGAACUGGAGUGUGGCAGGAGGGGGUGGAAUUCCGGCGUGUAGCAGUGAAUGCGUAGAGAUGCGGAGGAACACCGAUGGCGAAGGCAGCCCCCUGGGCUAACACUGACGCUCAGGCACGAAAGCGUGGGGAGCAAACAGG
rnacentral:rRNA from 1 species